rnacentral:lncRNA from 1 species
UGUCUGAGAGCUGGUCUCCUCACUCUUUUCUUCCGCCUAUUAAACUUUCCGCUUCUUAACUCACCCAUGUGUGUCCAUGUCGUUAAUCAUCUUGACGAGAGAUGAUGAACCCCGGAUAUUUACCCCAGACAGUGAUGCCGCUUCACCAGCAUUGCACUCUACUUCCCCGCUUCCUGAUCCUGCCUCAGCUUCUCCUCUCCACAGGAGAAGAAAAAAUUCUGCCUAAAGUCUGCAACAUCGUUUCCUGCCUGAGUUUCAGCCUGCCAGCUUCUCCUACGGAUUCUGGACUUGCCAGCCCCACAAUCAUGAAGCUGGUGAAGGCUCUCAGGUAAAGGAAAUGACUUGGGACAUCUGGCUCCUGUUCUGACAUGAAGUGAAGAUCAAACAAGGUCACAUGUUUAUGAGGAAGCACCUUUUAAUUGCUGCAUUCUCUAAAUAUGAAGAGUUACAAUGAUUAACGAAUUGCAUCCUUGUCACCCCUCCAAGCACAUUGAGAUAAGCUUUCUCAACAAGGAGAAUCUUGAGAUGUAGUUUGAAUCACAAGGCAUUACCUAAUGGAUAUAAAAUUGGAUAGUGUUUUUGGCUUAGAUGGGAGCAGAUCUGACGUUUCCAAGGGAAAUGUAUACACAUGCACCUUCCAUUUUACAUAAAUUUCAGGAAAUUCAAGACCUCCAGAAGCUCAGUCAUCACUCUCUGAGGGAGAUCAACUUCAUGAGCCUUCUCUACCUGAGAGAGGACUACAAAUACUGUUUUAUUCCAUGAUCAAUCAGCUGAGUGUAGAAAGAAAUAUAUUACCUCUUCCUCA